rnacentral:rRNA from 1 species
UGGGGAAUUUUGGACAAUGGGCGCAAGCCUGAUCCAGCAAUGCCGCGUGCAGGAUGAAGGCCUUCGGGUUGUAAACUGCUUUUGUACGGAGCGAAAAGGUCUGCCCUAAUACGGUGGGCUCAUGACGGUACCGUAAGAAUAAGCACCGGCUAACUACGUGCCAGCAGCCGCGGUAAUACGUAGGGUGCGAGCGUUAAUCGGAAUUACUGGGCGUAAAGCGUGCGCAGGCGGUUUUGUAAGACAGGCGUGAAAUCCCCGGGCUCAACCUGGGAACUGCGUUUGUGACUGCAAGGCUAGAGUAUGGCAGAGGGGGGUGGAAUUCCACGUGUAGCAGUGAAAUGCGUAGAGAUGCGGAGGAACACCGAUGGCGAAGGCAAUCCCCUGGGCCUGUACUGACGCUCAUGCACGAAAGCGUGGGGAGCAAACA